rnacentral:ncRNA from 1 species
CUCAAAUUUGACAUUGUAAAGAGACAUAGAGGGUGUAGCAUAUGUGGGAGCUUCGGCGCCACUACCUUUAUAGUUUCUUUACUUAAUUUAAUGAAGCGGAGCUAGACUUUAUUUUCCCACGUUCUAGCAUUCAAGGCGGCGCCAGGUGCUGAUCCGGGUUAAAGACAUUGUCAGGUGGGGAG